GGCUCAGAACGAACGCUGGCGGCGUGCUUAACACAUGCAAGUCGAACGUGAAGGGGGGCUUGCUCCCCGGAAAGUGGCGCACGGGUGAGUAACGCGUGGAUAAUCUACCUGAUGAUCUGGGAUAACAUUUCGAAAGAGGUGCUAAUACCGGAUAAGCCCACGAGUUCUUCGGAAUUUGCGGGAAAAGGGGGGGACCUUAGGGCCUUCUGUCAUCAGAUGAGUCCGCGUACCAUUAGCUAGUUGGUGGGGUAAAGGCCUACCAAGGCUACGAUGGUUAGCUGGUCUGAGAGGAUGAUCAGCCACACUGGAACUGAGACACGGUCCAGACUCCUACGGGAGGCAGCAGUGGGGAAUUUUGCGCAAUGGGGGAAACCCUGACGCAGCAACGCCGCGUGAGUGGUGAAGGCCUUCGGGUCGUAAAGCUCUGUCAGAGGGAAAGAAGUGUGCGGGUAUUAAUACUAUCUGCACUUGACGGUACCCUCAAAGGAAGCACCGGCUAACUCCGUGCCAGCAGCCGCGGUAAUACGGAGGGUGCUAGCGUUGUUCGGAUUUAUUGGGCGUAAAGCGCGUGUAGGCGGUUUUUUAAGUCUGAUGUGAAAGCCCCGGGCUCAACCUGGGAAGUGCAUUGGAUACUGGGAGACUUGAAUACGGGAGAGGGCAGUGGAAUUCCUAGUGUAGGAGUGAAAUCCGUAGAUAUUAGGAGGAACACCGGUGGUGAAGGCGGCUGCCUGGACCGAUAUUGACGAUGAGACGCGAAAGCGUGGGUAGCAAACAGGAUUAGAUACCCUGGUAGUCCACGCCGUAAACGAUGAGUAUUAGGUGUUGCGGGUAUUGACCCCUGCAGUGCCGCAGCUAACGCAUUAAGUACUCCGCCU
rnacentral:rRNA from 1 species